UCUAAUAUGGCAGAUUAGUGCAUUGGAUUUAAGCUCCACAUAUAAAGUUUUAGCAACUUUCAUUAGAA
rnacentral:tRNA from 1 species